rnacentral:rRNA from 1 species
GUUAAGUGACUAAGCGUAUACGGUGGAUGCCUUGGCAGUUAGAGGCGAUGAAGGACGUGUAAGUCUGCGAAAAGCUGUGGUGAGCCGACAAAAUGCAUUUGAGCCACAGAUGUCCGAAUGGGGAAACCCACCUGUUUACAGGUAUCGUUACAUGAAUACAUAGUGUAACGAGGCGAACGAGGGGAACUGAAACAUCUAAGUACCCUUAGGAAAAGAAAUCAACCGAGAUUCCCCUAGUAGCGGCGAGCGAACGGGGAUUAGCCCUUAAGCAAUUAUGAACGUAGUGGAAGCCUCUGGGAAGUGGCGCGAUACAAGGUGAUAGCCCUGUACACGAAGUGUUUGUUUUUGUGAAAUCGAGUAGGUCGGGACACGUGUUAUCUUGACUGAAUAUGGGGGGACCAUCCUCCAAGGCUAAAUACUCGUAAUCGACCGAUAGUGAACAAGUACCGUGAGGGAAAGGCGAAAAGAACCCCGGGAGGGGAGUGAAAUAGAUCCUGAAACCGCAUGCAUACAAAAAGUCGGAGCCGCAAGGUGACGGCGUACCUUUUGUAUAAUGGGUCAUCGACUUGGUCUAUCUAGCAAGCUUAAGCCGUUAGGUGUAGGCGCAGCGAAAGCGAGUCUGAAUAGGGCGCAUGAGUUAGGUGGAUCAGACCCGAAACCGAGUGAUCUAGGCAUGGCCAGGUUGAAGGUUGGGUAACACCAACUGGAGGACCGAACCCACAUCCGUUGAAAAGGAUCGGGAUGAGCUGUGCCUAG